rnacentral:rRNA from 1 species
AACGAACGCUGGCGGCAGGCUUAACACAUGCAAGUCGAACGCCCCGCAAGGGGAGUGGCAGACGGGUGAGUAACGCGUGGGAAUCUACCCAGUUCUACGGAACAACACAGGGAAACUUGUGCUAAUACCGUAUACGCCCUACGGGGGAAAGAUUUAUCGGAAUUGGAUGAGCCCGGGUUGGAUUAGCUAGUUGGUGAGGUAACGGCUCACCAAGGCGACGAUCCAUAGCUGGUCUGAGGGGAUGAUCAGCCACACUGGGACUGAGACACGGCCCAGACUCCUACGGGAGGCAGCAGUGGGGAAUAUUGGACAAUGGGCGAAAGCCUGAUCCAGCAAUGCCGCGUGAGUGAUGAAGGCCUUAGGGUUGUAAAGCUCUUUUACCAGGGAUGAUAAUGACAGUACCUGGAGAAUAAGCUCCGGCUAACUCCGCGCCAGCCGCCGCAGUAAAAC